GACGAACGCUGGCGGCGUGCCUAACACAUGCAAGUCGAACGGAACUGUUUUGAAAGAUUUCUUCGGAAUGAAUUUGAUUUAGUUUAGUGGCGGACGGGUGAGUAACGCGUGAGUAACCUGCCUUCAAGGGGGGGAUAACAUUCUGAAAAGAAUGCUAAUACCGCAUGAUAUAUCGGAACCACAUGGUUUUGAUAUCAAAGAUUUUAUCGCUUGAAGAUGGACUCGCGUCCGAUUAGUUAGUUGGUGAGGUAACGGCUCACCAAGACCGCGAUCGGUAGCCGGACUGAGAGGUUGAACGGCCACAUUGGGACUGAGACACGGCCCAGACUCCUACGGGAGGCAGCAGUGGGGGAUAUUGCGCAAUGGGGGCAACCCUGACGCAGCAACGCCGCGUGAAGGAUGAAGGUUUUCGGAUUGUAAACUUCUUUUAUUAAGGACGAAAAAUGACGGUACUUAAUGAAUAAGCU
rnacentral:rRNA from 1 species